GGAGAAACAAAUUGCAGCAUGAGCUGAUCUCUGAGGGCUGACAAGAAACAAAGUCCUUAUUCCCCAGAUAUUUUAGUGGAAGGUGAUAUUAGGAGGAGAAAAACACAGUUGGGGUGUGUGUAUUUCUGUGUGUGUGAGAUGUGGUCAGAUUGUGUAUGCCUUUGUAAACAAGGCAAGAUGACUUUUUUUUUCUUUUUUUAAACCCAUAGCCAACGUGAUAAGGAUGACGGGUCUUGCUAUGACAGAUAGUAGAGGUUUAACAUACUCAUAAAGCAAGUAUAUGCAGCCAAGUCAUCAAAUAGCAGUGACACAGGCAGUGGGCUGGGCACGGUGGCACAUGCCUGUAGUUCUAUUAUACAGCACUGCUUUAAACAAUAUAUUUUUUAGUUUUACUACUCAGGAGGCUGAGGCAGGAGGAUUGCUUGAGCCCAGGAGUUCUGGACUGUAGUAUGCUAUGUCAACUGGUCAACUAAGUUUGGCAUCAAUAUGGUGACCUUCGGGUAGUGGGGAACCACCAGGUUGCCUAAGGAGGGGUAACUGGCCCAGACUGGAAAUGGAGUUGAUCAAAAUUCCUGUGUUGAUUGGUAGUGAGAUCAUGCCUGUGAAUAGCCACAGUACUCCAGCCUGGGCAACAAAGCAAGACCCCAUCUCUCCAAAUAAAAUGAAAAAGGCAGUGGAUCAAUAACUGCAGAGGUCUUCUUCCUGGAUUUCCUCUGCCUUUUCUCCUCUCCUGCAUUGUCAUUUCCUGUCUUUGGUGGGAUCACUCCUAUCUGCAGACAAAUAUCCUCUGGUAUGGUAGGUAGCCUACAAAAUGCCCGCCAAUGAACCCUGUCUCCUGGUAUUCACAGCCUUAGUCAGUUCCCUCUCCUUUAGUGUUGGCUGGAUUUCGUGACUCACUUCUAGUAAAUAGAAAGUAGAGGUGAUGGGCUACCACUUUCAAGAUUAGGUUAUAAAAAGAUUGUGACUUCUGUCCUGAGCACUCUCUGCAGUCCUGUUGCUCUAAGGUAAAGCUGCUGCCAUGUUGUAAGCUGCCCUGUGGCCCUGUAGAGAGGCUGCCAGCAAGAGCCAUUGAGGAACUGAAGUCCUCAGUUGAACAGCCACGAAAAGCUGAAUCAUGCAACACCGCAUGAUCUGCUUAGAGGCAGAUCUUCCCCGAUCACACCUUCAGAUGAGACCACAGUGCUGGCUGACACCCUAACUGCAACCUCAUGAGAGAC
rnacentral:lncRNA from 10 species